GACAGAGGGUGCAAACGUUGUUCGGAAUUACUGGGCGUAAAGCGAGUGUAGGCGGUUCGAUAAGUCGGAUGUGAAAGCCCCGGGCUCAACCCGGGAAGUGCACUCGAUACUGUCGAGCUAGAGUAUCGGAGAGGUUGGUGGAAUUCUCGGUGUAGAGGUGAAAUUCGUAGAUAUCGAGAGGAACACCGGUGGCGAAGGCGGGUCUCUGGGCAACAACUGACGCUGAGGAGCGAAAGCGUGGGGAGCGAACAGG
rnacentral:rRNA from 1 species